CAAAACCUCAAUAUAGUCCAAGUUAAAGCUGCAUUAUGAAACGUUUACAAAAAUAUGUUUUUUCACAUAUCAGUCAAAACUGUAACCAUGUAUGAAAUGAGACAGAUAAUCUGUGAAGAGAUUCAUCUUCACAGUGUAGAAACAACCAAUCGGAGCGAUGAGGCGGGUCUCAGUGCUGUCAAUCAACCUCGCGUUAGCACAAUGUGCCAAUGGUGGAGAAACAUCUUACCGUUCCAGAAAAACACUUGGUGGCAGCAUUUCCUCAGGCAGACGUUUUCACCGAACCAGUUCUGUAAGGUUCUGGUCGAAACAAUGCGGGUCAUUACUUAAGAGGAGGAGAAUCAGUCAUGACUCCGCCCUGUAAUGAUAACUCAAGGAGGAUGCAAACCAAAUCAUCAAAACCGACGCAAUGAAGAAACUGUGAAUCACACCUUUAACACUGUUACCGGACAGAAUUGAACAAAAUGUUCAGAGAACAGAUAAUGCUCAGCUUCUUUAUUUGGUCCAGCUGUAUCACUUUCCUGGUUUCAGGUUCCUCCCUAAGCGACAAAGUCCGACAGUACCCAGCAGAACUCUUCAAAUCCUCCGCUGACACGAACGCUGAGAUCAGCUGUUC